AUUGAACGCUGGCGGCAGGCCUAACACAUGCAAGUCGAGCGGAGCGGCGGAAGGGUGAGUAAUGCAUAGGAAUCUGCCUGGUAGUGGGGGCUAACGUCCGGAAACGGGCGCUAAUACCGCAUACUAGCAGAUGAGCCUAGGUCGGAUUAGCUAGUUGGUGGGGUAAAGGCCUACCAAGGCGAAGAUCCGUAACUGGUCUGAGAGGAUGAACAGUCACACGUGAACUGAGACACGGUCCAGACUCCGACGGGAGUCAGCAGUGGUGAAUAUUGGACGUUGGGCGAAAGCCUGAUCCAGCCAUGCCGCGUGUGUGAAGAAGGUCUUCGGAGUGUAAAGCACUUUAAGUUGGGAGGCGUUACCAACAGAAUAAGCACCGGCUAACUUCGUGCCAGCAGCCGCGGUAAUUC
rnacentral:rRNA from 1 species